rnacentral:rRNA from 1 species
AGAGUUUGAUCCUGGCUCAGGAUAAACGCUGGCGGCGUGCCUAACACAUGCAAGUCGAACGCGCAUGGAGCGAUCCAUGUGAGUGGCGGACGGGUGAGGAACACGUGGGUUAUCUACCUUCCGGUGAGGAAUACCGGCGAGAAAUCGCCGACAAUACCGCAUAGGUUUGGAGACAAACAAAGCUUCUUCGGAGGUGCCGG